ACUUCGGAAAUGUUCACACUUCUAGAAGCAAACAAAUUCAACUACAUCUUUCCAUUCUAUUUAUUUGCCUCCAAAUACAAGACAUGCAAGACUGCUACAUUCAUUAAGUUUUAAUUUAUGCCCGCUAUUCUUAUGCUCCAAUUCACAUAUUUGACAAAUACUUCCCACUUUGUAUGCACUGCCAAUUUGAUUGCGUUUGUGUGCGGACAAACAAUAUUUGCUCUGUUUACAGAUAUAUAUCAUCGAAUUUAUCUCUCGCACUGGACGAAUAAAGGUAGGCUGUAACUUUUAGGAUUGGCUAUAUAUAUCUCAGUAUUUUUUAAUCUAUCCGCGGAGAUCGUAUCAGCAGCUACUGAACUAUAAGUGAAUGUCGACGAUAUAGAUAUAUUGACCUCAUACCAGACACGGUUUGACCAAAAACCUGGCUAGACUUACCAAGACAAUUUUACUACAUGGUUCCUUAGAAUAUUUUCAAGAUAACUUUAGAUGUCAAGUUUAGUGCAAUUCGGAUCAGAUGUUUUGGUUAACUGACACUAAUUCAGUAUAAUUGCCAUGCCCAUAAUAUGUCCAUGACAAAUGGUAUUUAUAUAGAUGGAUAAAACGUGACUACAUAAAAACACGCAAUGUAGGAAAGUUAGAUUAAAACCAGAAAUAAAAGGGGUAGGUAGAAAGGUUUCAUUAAAAUGCCUUCUUAAGUUAAAAAUGUCAAAUUAAAUUUUGGUAGAACUGCCAUAAUACUGUUAAAUCACUGUUUGAGGAAUGUGUUAAUUAAACACUAGGAUUUUUUUCUUAGCGAUUUUGGUAUUCCAUUGUCUGACAAAGCCUAAAUAAAGCCUCUGCAUUGCAAACAUGUCUACAAAAUUGAAUUUGGACAUGCUUGUUCGUGUCUGUGGCAUAGAGCCAAGCGUCGUAUUGAGUCUGCAUGAACUUGUUCAACGAGAAAUGGUCGUAAUUAGUUUACAAAGCUUUAUAUAAUAGACUAUACUCAUUCGAUAAAUACUUGUCAUUUUUUUUCUCCCGAAAUGAAUUUCGACCAAGGUAAUCACUACCGCCUUAUACAGAAUACCUCAAGAUUACCAGGUUUACAAAAUCUGAAUAUAAAACCAUGUACUCUGUUUCGGAAGUUCAGUCUUAGAAACAGCGGAGAUUGUGCUAGAUCGAAGACUGACUAGCCUCGUUUUGACGCUCAUUUCAAACGGCUAUAAUUUUACUUGCAUGGAUUGUCUUCAUUCGUAAACACUUGGAUGCACGUUUCUUUAUAUAACCGUCUCUGCUAAAAAUAACGUUUAUUAUUCUGGUAAUGCAUAAAAUAUACAAAAUGCAAAGUAGUGAUAAGUGCAACACUUAUAACUUUUCAUAUACAGCUAAUUCAAAAACGGUUGAAUAUUGCAGCUAUUUGUGAAUGAAUUGUCCUCGUAAGGAGAUAUUUACCAUGUCUCUAAGAAAUGGGCACCAUGUAUGAUUUCUAAACUGAUUAAAUGAUGCUCCCAUCAUGCUUUGCACGCUUGGAGUUUAAGGUUUAGAGUUUUUAAGGUUUGCAAAGGAAAACCUUUUUUGAAUCAGCUGUAUAUUUACUUAUGAUGACUUUGAAAUGUCGAAAAUUCACAUUUACAAACGUUCGUAUUCAAAUCUUGAAUUUUAAGACGGCAUCAUUCAUUCGGUUUCUUUUAAUAUUUUCGUCUACUGGCCGUGGUUUUUGUACUAUUUAGACCCCAUUUUUGGUAGCUUUAAUCGUCGGUAAUUGCUGCAAUUUUUAUCAUUAAAUAUAUUCUCGCGUGCAUUAAUUAAGCCUGGUUUCCAUAUGGUUGUAACGGUCGUAAAGAUUGAGUCACGAUCUUUCUCAUCAGCUGAAAUACAACAUUUUAGAACUGAACUACGCAGACUGAUUAUAACUAGAGAAUACUUAUGAUUUACAUGUGGUUUACAGGUAUAAACUAUUAUAAACUGGCCGUUGAGAAAGAUCGUGCCUCUAUUUUUACGACCAAAUAUGGAAACCAGGCUUUAAACCGUUAUUAGUAUGGCAUUAUAUAUUUCCACUUGUUAUGUUUAAUUCCUUUCUUAUCUAGUAUGUCUUCCAGAUAUCUUGCAUUCAGCACCGUUUGUGUGUUCGUAGUUGUUCUUACAAAAG